ACGAACGCUGGCGGCGUGCUUAACACAUGCAAGUCGAACGGAAAGGCCCCUUUGGGGGUACUCGAGUGGCGACCGGGUGAGUAACACGUGAGUAACCUGCCCUUGACUUCGGGAUAACUUCAGGAAACUGGGGCUAAUACCGGAUAGGAAUCCUUGCUGCCUGGUGGGGGUUGGAAAGCUUCGGCGGUUUUGGAUGGACUCGCGGCUUAUCAGCUUGUUGGUGGGGUAGUGGCUUACCAAGGCUUUGACGGGUAGCCGGCCUGAGAGGGCGACCGGCCACAUUGGGACUGAGAUACGGCCCAGACUCCUACGGGAGGCAGCAGUGGGGAAUAUUGCACAAUGGGCGGAAGCCUGAUGCAGCAACGCCGCGUGCGGGAUGACGGCCUUCGGGUUGUAAACCGCUUUCAGCAGGGGCGAAGCUUGUGGUGACGGUACCUGCAGAAGAAGCACCGGCUAACUACGUG
rnacentral:rRNA from 1 species